GCCGGGGUGGCGGAAUUGGUAGACGCAGGGGACUUAAAAUCCCCCGGGAGAUAAUCCCGUGCCGGUUCGAUUCCGGCCCUCGGUA
rnacentral:tRNA from 1 species